GUCGGCGACCACGCCACGUUGAAAGCACCGGUUCUCGUCCGAUCACCAAAGUUAAGCAAGAUUGGGCCCGGUUAGUACUUGCAGGUU
rnacentral:rRNA from 1 species